GAUGAAGAACGUAGCGAAAUGCGAUAAGUAAUGUGAAUUGCAGAAUUCAGUGAAUCAUCGAAUCUUUGAACGCACAUUGCGCCCCUUGGUAUUCCGAGGGGCAUGCCUGUUCGAGCGUCAUUAUAACCCCUCAAGCUCAGCUUGGUGUUGGGGCCUGCUGCACUGGCAGCCCUUAAAAUCAGUGGCGGCGCCAUCUGGCUCUAAGCGUAGUAAUUCUUCUCGCUAUGGAGUCCUGGUGGAUGCUUGCCAUCAACCCCCAAUUUUUCUAUGGUUAACCUCGGAUCAGGUAGGGAUACCCGCUGAACUUAAGCAUAUCAAUAAGCGGAGGA
rnacentral:misc_RNA from 1 species